AUGGUCUUUGAUUACAUUUAUUUCAACCGUAUUGUCUACUCUUUUCAUUUUAGUCUCUUUAGGCAACCCUAACCUCGACACGCACUUGGACGUGAAACAAAUCAGACACCCUUUGCCUUUUCGACUCCAUGCUGACAACUGUUGAUUUUGAAAGUAAUUUUUUACCCCUUAUUGACUGCAAAAGUCCCUACUUCUAAUAAGUCAAGUUCACAACUUCACCUCGCACACUGUAUAUCCAAGGAGAAACACUCCAAAUUCUUAAGUGGGGCAGAGUUGAAGACUCCUACAACUGUUAAGAAAAAUAACCUAGGGUCUGAAUAGAAUAAUUAAAAUACUUAAGCUAUGCUACAGUUUUAGUAGAAUACAUUUUCAAUUAUGUCUUUGUUUCUAUUUGAGCAAGGGAACGCAAGCAUCAUUUUGGAGACACGACUCCCAAAUCGAAGUGAUCCUCUUCUCGAGUUAUGGGCAGCACUGUAGAGCGUAGGUUUUAAAAACUAUUUGGCCUACAGUGAAGCUCAUAGGCAAACGUGUUACUAUGAUUCCACAUUUUACCAAAGGGGGUUAAGAAAUAUAAGGAUUCUGUGAUCUUUUCAUAAUGGCUAUCCUCCUAUUUUGAAUUGAAAUGGAAACAUAGUGGUCGGAGUAGAUGAAAUCGAAUCAAAACUAUACAUUUCUUAUUUCGUCAAAAAAAUGGAUUCUAGAAAUUAACUAUUAAUUAUUGUUAAACUAAUAUUUGUGAGAAACAUCUUACAUGAAAGAUUCCUUAAAUAAAUUCCCUUGAUAU
rnacentral:lncRNA from 1 species